ACGGGAGGCAGCAGUGGGGAAUAUUGGACAAUGGGGGAAACCCUGAUCCAGCGACGCCGCGUGAGUGAAGAAGUAUUUCGGUAUGUAAAGCUCUAUCAGCAGGGAAGAUGAUGACGGUACCUGACUAAGAAGCCCCGGCUAACUACGUGCCAGCAGCCGCGGUAAUACGUAGGGGGCAAGCGUUAUCCGGAUUUACUGGGUGUAAAGGGAGCGUAGGCGGCCAGACAAGUCAGAUGUGAAAACCCUGGGCUUAACCCGGGACCUGCAUUUGAAACUGUAGGGCUAGAGUACUGGAGAGGCAAGUGGAAUUCCUAGUGUAGCGGUGAAAUGCGUAGAUAUUAGGAAGAACACCAGUGGCGAAGGCGACUUGCUGGACAGAGACUGACGCUGAGGCUCGAAAGCGUGGGGAGCAAACAGGAUUAGAUACCCUGGUA
rnacentral:rRNA from 1 species